GUGUUGUAAGUGUUUAAGGGCGCAUGGUGGAUGCCUUGGCACUGGGAGCCGAUGAAGGACGUGGGAGGCUGCGAUAUGCCUCGGGGAGCUGUCA
rnacentral:rRNA from 1 species